rnacentral:rRNA from 1 species
UACGUAGGGGGCUAGCGUUGUCCGGAUUUAUUGGGCGUAAAGAGCGUGUAGGCGGCCAGGUAGGUCUGCUGUGAAAACUCGAGGCUCAACCUCGAGAUGUCGGCAGAAACCCUCUGGCUAGAGUCCGGAAGAGGAGAGUGGAAUUCCCGGUGUAGCGGUGAAAUGCGCAGAUAUCGGGAAGAACACCCGUGGCGAAGGCGGCUCUCUGGGACGGUACUGACGCUGAGACGCGAAAGCGUGGGGGAGCGAACAGG